UGUGAGAUGCCACAGCACAUCAGCUGGUUCU
rnacentral:piRNA from 1 species